rnacentral:lncRNA from 1 species
AAAUUUGAAAAAAUGGUAAAACAGAGGUUCGUGAAAACGUCUUCGAGGCUGUCAUCUACACUUUUUCAACGGACGUCAUCGUCGAACCGACGAGUAGCCAAAAAUAAUGUUGACCGAAACGAAGGCUUCCGGUCAACGAGAAUUAAAACGAGAAAGAAAAGGAAAGGAAGAAGAUUAGAAAAUCUUGAAUAAUCCUGAAAACAACACGAUCAACCAAGGAAACCAUUUGAAAACUUAUAAAACAUCAGAA